rfam:Pyronema omphalodes CBS 100304, CBS100304, WGS project CATG01000000 data, contig: Pcon_v1_contig311
GGCUUCGUGGCUCAAUGGUAGAGCGUUGCCCUCCUAAGGCAAAGGCUGCAGGUUCGAGUCCUGCCGUGGUCG